rnacentral:rRNA from 1 species
AUGACCUGGUUCGUGUCCACAUUAUGUAUGCCUAUUCUGUUCCCUUUAUUUAGUCCGGUUGAGCGUCUAGGCAUUAUGCUGUCCAUUCACAUAGCCUGUACUGGUCGUUUGACCAACUCUGAAGGUGUGAGGGUGCUCAAAGGGAUCAGCAACCUAAAAGGGUUAGAGAUACUAGAGAUUGUGGAUAUUGAACGGACAAGUAGGAAAGCAGUAAAAGAGCUCGGGAAGCUUAUAAAGCACAGAAAGUUAAGUGCCAGAGUAGGGGCAAGCAAGCAAAAGAGCAAGAUACUCUGUACAUCCCUUGAGAAGCUCACUUCCCUCCGCUCUCUUUGUCUCGGUGUGGAUUUCAGUACAUCUAGGAGAAGCCUUGCGUCACUAAAGUGGCUGUUGCAGCCUAUUUUCUCACCUCCCCCUCUCCUGCGUAAGCUGACUUUGAAUGGACACUAG